rnacentral:rRNA from 1 species
AUUGAACGCUGGCGGCAGGCCUAACACAUGCAAGUAGAACGAGUGGCGGACGGGUGAGUAAUGUCUGGGAAACUGCCUGAUGGAGGGGGAUAACUACUGGAAACGGUAGCUAAUACCGCAGACCAUAGGAUGUGACCAGAUGGGAUUUGCUAGUAGGUGGGGUAAAGGCUCCCCUUGGCGACGAUCCCUAGCUGGUCUGAGAGGAUGACCAGCCACACUGGAACUGUGACACGGUCCAGACUCCUACGGGAGGCAGCAGUGGGGAAUAUUGCACAUUGGGCGCAAGCCUGAUGCAGCCAUGCCGCGUGUAUGAAGAAGGCCUUCGGGUUGUAAAGUACUUUCAGCGGGGAGGCGUUACCCGCAGAAGAAGCACCGGCUAACUCCGUGCCAGCAGCCGCGGUAAUUC